rnacentral:rRNA from 1 species
AUACCAGCCCCGCGAGUGGUCGGGGUGAUUAUUGGGCCUAAAGCGCCCGUAGCCGGCCCGGCAAGUCUCCCUUUAAAGCCCCGGGCUCAACCCGGGGAGUGGGGGAGAUACUGCCGGGCUAGGGGGCGGGAGAGGCCGAGGGUACUCCCGGGGUAGGGGCGAAAUCCUAUAAUCCCGGGAGGACCACCAGUGGCGAAGGCGCUCGGCUGGAACGCGCCCGACGGUGAGGGGCGAAAGCCGGGGGAGCGAACCGGAUUAGAAACCCUAGUAGUCC